rnacentral:tRNA from 1 species
GGAAGAAUGGCUGAGUGGUUUAAAGCGGCAGAUUGUAAAUCUGUUGAGUUUCUCAUCGUAGGUUCGAAUCCUGCUUCUUUCA